rnacentral:lncRNA from 1 species
GUGGGGCCGCGUGCUGCCUCGCGCCUGUGACUGUCGCACGUGCUGGGGCCGGAAGCAGCCGUCGCAGCGAUGGCGUCGUUACUUGGGGAGGCGACGCGGGGGCCGCGGAGAGCGAGCGGCUGAACGGCCACGUAACCGCCACCGAGCCGGGGAGGGCCAGCGGGUGGGAGCUAGAACAGCACUCCCUGAGGGAGAUGUGCUGGGGAGGGGAAGGGGGAGCCCCGGUAGCGUUUGGAGUGGGGUGUCAGUUUUCAAACCUCAUCCACUCCCAGAAGAACCUUCUGGGUAUCAAGAGUGCUACCAUCCCAAACGUAGAUGGUUCUGUUAAUAGGAUUGAAGACGAUGAUGAAGAUGACGUAGGUAGGAAAUAAAUCCAUUUGUGGGUAUUUACUCGCAUUCUGUUUCAUGUAAUCAUGACUUCACAAUUGU